rnacentral:lncRNA from 1 species
AUGCUUUUAUAAAGCUUGAUAGAAGAAAACAAAAAUGCAUUUUCUGGUUCUUGUUUUCUUUCUUUUUUAUUUUUUUCAAAGAGACAGGGUCUCUCUCUGUCACCCAGGCUGGAGUGCAGUGGUGCAAUGGAGUUCACUGCAGCCUCAACCUCCUGGGCUCAAGCGAUCCUCCCACUUUAGCCUCCCAGGUAGCUGGGACUCAUGUGCCACCACAGCUGGCUAAUUUUUGUAUUUUUAGUAGAGACGGGGUUUCUCCAUGUUGGUCAGGCUGGUCUCAAACUCCCGACCUCAGGUGAUCCACCCGCCUUGGCAUCCCAAAGUGCU